rnacentral:ncRNA from 1 species
UUAAUGCAGAGUUAGAUCCUGGCUCAGGACGAACGCUGGCCGCAUGCCUAAUACAUGCAAGUCGAGCGGACUAAGGUGAAACUUGUUUCACCGAGGUUAGCGGCGGACGGGUGAGUAACACGUAGGCAACCUGCCUUUCAGUUUGGGAUAACUUCCGGAAACGGAUGCUAAUACCGAAUACAUCAUCUUCUGGCAUCGGAGGAUGAGGAAAGACGGCGCAAGCUGUCACUGAGAGAUGGGCCUGCGGCGCAUUAGCUAGUUGGUGGGGUAACGGCUCACCAAGGCGACGAUGCGUAGCCGACCUGAGAGGGUGAACGGCCACACUGG